CCUACGGGUGGCAGCAGUGAGGGAUAUUGGUCAAUGGGCGGAAGCCUGAACCAGCCAAGUAGCGUGCGGGAUGAAGGCCCUACGGGUCGUAAACCGCUUUUGCACGGGGAUAACACCCGCCACUUGUGGAAGUCUGCAGGUACCGUGCGAAUAAGGGCCGGCUAAUUCCGUGCCAGCAGCCGCGGUAAUACGGAGGGCCCGAGCGUUAUCCGGAUUCAUUGGGCUUAAAGGGAGGGGGGGGGGGCGUUCAAGCCAGCGGUAAAAUCGCGCGGCUCAACCGCGCCCCGCAGUUGAAACUGGGCGCCUUGAGUGCACAACAGGCAGGCGGAAUUCGUGGUGUAGCGGUGAAAUGCGUAGAUAUCACGAGGAACCCCGAUGGCGAAGGCAGCCUGCCGGGGUGCGACUGACGCUGAGGCUCGAAGGUGCGGGGAUCAAACAGGAUUAGAUACCCUUGUAGUC
rnacentral:rRNA from 1 species